AUGACCUUCCAAGUUUUUAAAAGGAUAUGAUGAAGUUAUUUGCAUUUUUAAUCGAACAAUUCUUCUCAAUAUAAUUGAGGUUUUAAUGGAGAUUGCGGUGCCUGUGCAGAAAAUUAUCUUGUUACAUUCAAUUGAAUGAAUCAGGACGCUAUAUUAGAAAAUUCUGAUCCUU
rnacentral:snoRNA from 1 species